UGGAUUUUGGAUUCACACAUCCAUAUGGCUGAUUCCAAAGUGUCUACAUUUAAUCUCUACUCUCUAGAGCAAAAACACCUUUUCUUUUGAAACCUGACAUUCAUAUUCACCAGCUUCUUCUCCCUUCUCACUAACAUUAAAGAUAAUUCCAUCUUCCUGUUUCAAAGUUUUCCUUCCAGACUGAUUCAUUGCAAUGAUGUCAGCAUUUGCUCUAACUUUAUGCCUUUUUUUUUACUUUUUUUCCCUAUAAAGCUAACACUUCUAUGUUUCCCAUCUCCUAUGCCCAUUUAUUAAAUAUCAAGUAUUUGUUAGAGAAUGUGAGAGUCUGCACUGAGCACUAAGAAUAUAAAUAUGACCAAGAGAACUGUAGCUGCUGUUUCAUAGGGCUCACAGUGGGCGUAUAGACCAAUUUGUAGACUUUUAUCAUGCACAAGGAUACGUCCAGCACUAAGUAGUUCCUGUAACAUUCCCAUCAAUUUUCCCUUCAUUUCUUACAUCUUCAACGUAUAUUUUCAUUACCUGUGUUUUCUGUAAACUAUUUACAGAAUGCUUACAAAUAUGUCCAGGUCUCCCUGUACUAAAAGGAAAGACAUACCCAGAAUUUAUCUUCAACUUAGCUAUGGGACUGAGCUCUUUUCCUCUCUCCUUCUCUUCUUCACCAAAUAUUUUCAAGAAUAGACUAAUGAUUUUAAAUUAACUUCUUUUUUCAUCCACUCAUCCUUGAAUCCUCUAAAGAUUUGGCUUGUAUUACAACUAUUUUAUUGACAUUUCAGAAUGAUUUUGCAUUUUGGUAAGGCUCUUGAAAAAGUUUCCUUUUUAUGAAUAUGUGUAUUAUGUAUGUUUUUCAUAGUACAAGACCCAUACCAAAAGCUUAUAUUUCCCAAGGAUCAACCUUGUGAUGGUCACAAGGUGUCCAUCAUUGCUUGCUUAUUUUAUGGCAUCUUCUGCCUUGAAAACUUAAGAGUUAAAAUCUUUAGCUCAUUAAAAUAACUCAUGCAUCCUUUGCAUUCAUUACAAUUUUCAACUCUCUUUUAUGUUAUUAUUCAAUAGUAACUUUUUAGCUUCUAGAUUUUCAAUUUUGUUUUUGUUUUGUUUUUAUUUAAAUUCAAUUUCCCAGCAUACAGUAUAACACCCAGUGCUCAUCCUAUCAAGUACCCUUC
rnacentral:lncRNA from 1 species